GACGAACGCUGGCGGCGUGCUUAACACAUGCAAGUCGAACGGAAAGGCCCUGCUUUUGUGGGGUGCUCGAGUGGCGAACGGGUGAGUAACAAGUGAGUAACCUGCCCUUGACUUUGGGAUAACUUCAGGAAACUGGGGCUAAUACCGGAUAGGAGCUCCUGCUGCAUGGUGGGGGUUGGAAAGUUUCGGCGGUUGGGGAUGGACUCGCGGCUUAUCAGCUUGUUGGUGGGGUAGUGGCUUACCAAGGCUUUGACGGGUAGCCGGCCUGAGAGGGUGACCGGCCACAUUGGGCCUGCGAUACGGCCCAGCCUCCUACGGGAGGCAGCAGUGGGGAAUAUUGCACAAUGGGCGGAAGCCUGAUGCAGCAACGCCGCGUGCGGGAUGACGGCCUUCGGGUUGUAAACCGCUUUCGCCUGUGACGAAGCGUGAGUGACGGUAAUGGGUAAAGAAGCACCGGCUAACUACGUG
rnacentral:rRNA from 1 species